rnacentral:misc_RNA from 1 species
ACAAACUUGGUCAUUUAGAGGAAGUAAAAGUCGUAACAAGGUUUCCGUAGGUGAACCUGCGGAAGGAUCAUUACCAAUCUCUAGCGGGACUUUUUUGGGUCUCGCGAAAAACUUGUAUUUAAAACCCAACUCUUUAAAAAAAAAAUACUAUAUAUACGUUAUACGUAAAUAAAGAUCACUUUCAACAACGGAUCUCUUGGCUCUCUUAGAGGAAGUAAAAGUCGUAACAAGGUUUCCGUAGGUGAACCUGCGGAAGGAUCAUUACCAAUCUCUAGCGGGACUUUUUUGGGUCUCGCGAAAAACUUGUAUUUAAAACCCAACUCUUUAAAAAAAAAAUACUAUAUAUACGUUAUACGUAAAUAAAGAUCACUUUCAACAACGGAUCUCUUGGCUCUCGCAUCGAUGAAGAACGCAGC